rnacentral:rRNA from 1 species
ACGCACACCGAUAGGGUUUCAGACUAUUAUUUUCAGCUUCCUCUCAGCGGUAAAACGCACAAGAAUUUAAACCCCCUUAAGCGAUUGCUCUAGAUCUUCGAGGCGCGCAGUGAGAGUAUCGCAAUUCCCCUUCGGAUUCCUUAGUGUCAUUCAGAAGGCGGUAUUCGGAGGUUCCCGCUUAUCGAUUUCUGGGUAAAGCGCGCUAGGCGUUAGCAAGUUGUAUUGGAAAGCCUAGCUCCACCUUAGACUGCAUUCAAACUAUUAAGCUAGAGUACGAGAGAGGAGAGUAGAACCUUUGGGUUAGCGGUGAAAUGCGUAGAUUUCAGAAAGGAUUACCAAUGGCGGAAGGCAGCUUUUUGGCUCGUCACUGACGCUGAGGUGCGAAAGGCGUGGGUAGCAAACAGGAUUAGAUACCCUGGUAGUCACGCCGUAAACCGAUGAGAACUAGCCGUUGGGCAGAUUUAACUGUUCAGUGGCACAGCUAACGCAUUAAGUUCUCCGCCUGGAGAGUACGGCCGCAAGGCUAAAACUCAAAUGAAUUGACGGGGGCCCGCGCAAGUGGUGGAGCAUGUGGUUUAAUUCGAUGCAACGCGAAGAACCUUACCAACCCUUGAAAUCUAGCGAAGUUCACAGAGAUGAGAAUGUGCCUUCGGGAACGCUAUGACAGGUGUUGCAUGGCUGUCGUCAGCUCGUGUCGUGAGAUGUAUGGUUAAGUCCAGUAACGAGCGCAACCCCUAUCCUUAUUUGCCAGCGCGUCAAGGCGGGAACUAUAGGGAGACUGCCGGGUGAAACCCGGAGGAAGGCGGGGACGAGGUCAAGUCAUCAUGGCCCUUAUGGGUUGGGCUACACACGUGCUACAAUGGGAAGUACAGAGGGAUGCUAAAGCGCGAGCUGGAGCCAAACCCUUAAAACUUUUCUUAGUCCGGAUUGGAGUCUGCAACUCGACUCCAUGAAGUCGGAAUCACUAGUAAUCGCGAAUCAGAAUGUCGCGGUGAAUACGUUCUCGGGCCUUGUACACACCGCCCGUCACAUCAUGGAAGUGGGUUGCACCAGAAGUGGUUAGUCUAACCUUCGGGAAGACGAUCACCACGGUGUGAUUCAUGACUGGGAUGAAGUCGUAACAAGGUAA